UGCGGCGUAGCUCAACGUCAGAGCGCCGGGCCCAUAACCCGGAGGUUGCGGGUGCGAAUCCUGCCGCCGCGA
rnacentral:tRNA from 1 species